UCCUCCCUCUGGCGGCGUGCUUAACACAUGCAAGUCGAACGGAAAGGCCCUGCUUUUGUGGGGUGCUCGAGUGGCGAACGGGUGAGUAACACGUGAGUAACCUGCCCUUGACUUUGGGAUAACUUCAGGAAACUGGGGCUAAUACCGGAUAGGAGCUCCUGCUGCAUGGUGGGGGUUGGAAAGAUUCGGCGGUUGGGGAUGGACUCGCGGCUUAUCAGCUUGUUGGUGGGGUAGUGGCUUACCAAGGCUUUGACGGGUAGCCGGCCUGAGAGGGUGACCGGCCACAUUGGGACGGAGAUACGGCCCAGACUCCUACGGGAGGCAGCAGUGGGGAAUAUUGCACAAUGGGCGGAAGCCUGAUGCAGCAACGCCGCGUGCGGGAUGACGGCCUUCGGGUUGUAAACCGCUUUCGCCUGUGACGAAGCGUGAGUGACGGUAAUGGGUAAAGAAGCACCGGCUAACUACGU
rnacentral:rRNA from 1 species